rnacentral:rRNA from 1 species
CCUACGGGUGGCAGCAGUAGGGAAUUUUCGUCAAUGGGCGCAAGCCUGAACGAGCAAUGCCGCGUGAACGAGGAAGGUCUUCGGAUCGUAAAGUUCUGUUGAAGGGGAAAAAGAGCGGAGAGAGGAAAUGGUCUCCGAUUGAUAUUACCCUUCGAGGAAGUCACGGCUAACUACGUGCCAGCAGCCGCGGUAAUAAGUAGGUGGCUGGCGUUAUCCGGAAUGAUUGGGCGUAAAGGGUGCGUAGGCGGCCUGCUAAGUCUGGUGUGAAAGGUACCGGCUCAACCGGUACAGGCUCUGGAAACUGGCGGGCUAGAGAGCAGGAGAGGGCGGUGGAACUCCAUGUGUAGCGGUAAAAUGCGUAGAUAUAUGGAAGAACACCAGUGGCGAAGGCGGCCGCCUGGCCUGUUACUGACGCUGAGGCACGAAAGCGUGGGGAGCAAAUAGGAUUAGAUACCCCUGUAGU